rnacentral:rRNA from 1 species
UACGGAGGGGGCUAGCGUUGUUCGGAAUUACUGGGCGUAAAGCGCACGUAGGCGGCUUUGUAAGUUAGAGGUGAAAGCCCGGGGCUCAACCCCGGAAUUGCCUUUAAGACUGCAUCGCUAGAAUUGUGGAGAGGUAAGUGGAAUUCCUAGUGUAGAGGUGAAAUUCGUAGAUAUUCGGAAGAACACCAGUGGCGAAGGCGACUUACUGGACACAUAUUGACGCUGAGGUGCGAAAGCGUGGGGAGCAAACAGG